rnacentral:tRNA from 1 species
GCACCCGUAGCUCAGUUGGAUAGAGCGUUGCCCUCCGAAGGCAGAGGUCACAGGUUCGAAUCCUGUCGGGUGCGCCA